rfam:Mustela putorius furo unplaced genomic scaffold scaffold00109, whole genome shotgun sequence.
GCCUGGCUGGCUCAGUCAGUAGAGCGUGGGACUCCGGAUCUCAGGGUUAUGAGUUCAAGCCCCAUGUUGGGUG